UCGUCACACUAUCAUUAACUGAAUCCAUAGGUUAAUGAGGCGAACCGGGGGAACUGAAACAUCUAAGUACCCCGAGGAAAAGAAAUCAACCGAGAUUCCCCCAGUAGCGGCGAGCGAACGGGGAGGAGCCCAGAGCCUGAAUCAGCAUGUGUGUUAGUGGAAGCGUCUGGAAAGGCGCGCGAUACAGGGUGACAGCCCCGUACACAAAAGCGCAUGUGCUGUGAGCUCGAUGAGUAGGGCGGGACACGUGGUAUCCUGUCUGAAUAUGGGGGGACCAUCCUCCAAGGCUAAAUACUCCUGACUGACCGAUAGUGAACCAGUACCGUGAGGGAAAGGCGAAAAGAACCCCGGCGAGGGGAGUGAAAAAGAACCUGAAACCGUGUACGUACAAGCAGUGGGAGC
rnacentral:rRNA from 34 species